rnacentral:rRNA from 1 species
CCUACGGGUGGCAGCAGUCGAGAAUCAUUCACAAUGGGGGAAACCCUGAUGGUGCGACGCCGCGUGGGGGAAUGAAGGUCUUCGGAUUGUAAACCCCUGUCAUGUGGGAGCAAAUUAAAAAGAUAGUACCACAAGAGGAAGAGACGGCUAACUCGGUGCCAGCAGCCGCGGUAAUACAGAGGUCUCAAGCGUUGUUCGGAAUCACUGGGCGUAAGGCGUGCGUAGGCUGUUUCGUAAGGCGUGUGUGAAAGGCGCGGGCUCAACCCGCGGACGGCACAUGAUACUGCGAGACUAGAGUAAUGGAGGGGGAACCGGAAUUCUCGGUGUAGCAGUGAAAUGCGUAGAUAUCGAGAGGAACACUCGUGGCGAAGGCGGGUUCCUGGACAUUAACUGACGCUGAGGCACGAAGGCCAGGGGAGCGAAAGGGAUUAGAUACCCUAGUAGUC